UAGGGAAUCUUGCGCAAUGGGCGAAAGCCUGACGCAGCCAUGCCGCGUGAAUGAUGAAGGUCUUAGGAUUGUAAAAUUCUUUCACCGGGGAAGAUAAUGACGGUACCCGGAGAAGAAGCCCCGGCUAACUUCGUGCCAGCAGCCGCGGUAAUACGAAGGGGGCUAGCGUUGCUCGGAAUUACUGGGCGUAAAGGGCGCGUAGGCGGAUGUCUAAGUUGGGGGUGAAAUCCCGGGGCUCAACCUCGGAACAGCCUUCAAUACUGGAUAUCUUGAGUUCGGGAGAGGUGAGUGGAAUGCCGAGUGUAGAGGUGAAAUUCGUAGAUAUUCGGCGGAACACCAGUGGCGAAGGCGACUCACUGGCCCGAUACUGACGCUGAGGCGCGAAAGCGUGGGGAGCAAACAGGAUUAGAUACCCCCGUAGUCC
rnacentral:rRNA from 1 species